GCCCAACUCACCCAGGCCCUGCCCUGAUGCCCGGGCCACACCCCAUAGUCUGGUGGUGUCCUUGUCUGACAGUGACGGACCUUUCCCUGACAUCACUUCCUGUCCCUGCCCCUGUGUCCGCCCACCCUGCCCGUGACCCCACCCCCUGAACACUGACCCCCUCCCCCCGACCACGGACCCCUCCCAACCCAGCAGGACAUGGUGAACUCGCACCGGGGCCUGGCCUUCCUGAAAGCAGCAAAGGAGUUCCACUAGCGUUACAUCACCACUGCCAGCCAGACAUCAACCGCAUAACAUUCGUUCUUGUUCUUCUCCUGUGAGCAUUUCUAUGUCAUCUACUGCAAGUUCUGGGAGCUCGACCUGGACGGCGACCUCGCCAUAGACUGCCAUCUCUUCCUGGAUGAUAGACUGCGUCUUCUCUCUCCGGUGCUGUCACCCAGUGAGCAGCCUGGGAGGUCGGAUCACGCUUUGUGGCCUGAAGCGCUUGAGCCUGGCAGGUGAGUUCUUUGAUGCCUUUUUCAGCAUGGACAAGUACCCCGCACAGGAGCAGUGCAAGCAGGCACAAACCCCGCGGGUGGGUGUGGCUGAGGGGGCGGGGCAUGUGGUGCGGGUGGUGUUGCAGUGGGCGUGACCAAAAUGUGGUCAGAGCGGGUGGGGGUGCUGGGCGGGGCCUGGGGCAGGGUCAGAAGAGGAAGUUGGAUGGACAGGAAGUGAUGUGAGAAGUAGGGAGAGGGCAACAGGAAGUGACUGUGGGGACAGGAAAUGCGGUCAUAGUGGGUGGGGCCUGCAUGGUUGUGGCGGGGGCCCUGGUUUUAUAGGGAGUGGGGGUAGUCAGGCAACUUGGGUGAUGGGGCGUGGGCAGGAUCAUCCAAGGGUGCCCCCUAGGGUCGAGGGGCAGGGCCUGAACUCAGGCAUUAUGGGAAGUGGGCGGAGUGAGGUGACCCGGGUCACAGUGUGUGGGCAUGGUCGCCGUGGGCGUGGCCU
rnacentral:lncRNA from 1 species